rnacentral:tRNA from 1 species
UCCCUGAUGGCUCAGAUGGUAAAGAAUUUGCCUGCGAUGCAGGAGACCCGGGUUCAAUUCCUGGGUGAGGAG